GACGAACGCUGGCGGCGUGCUUAACACAUGCCAGUCGAACGGACAGGCCCUGCUUGCAGGGUACUCGCGUGGCGAACGGGCGAGUAACUCGCGGGUGGUUUGCCCUGCACUUCGGCUUAAGCCUGGGCAACUGGGUCUAAUUCAGGCCAGGUGCUAUAUUGAGUGUGAUGGUUGGAUAGUUUUUUCGGUGUUGGCUGAGCUCGCGGGCUAUCUGCUUGUUGGAGGAGUAAUGGCCUACCAAGGCGGCGUCGGGUAGCCGGACUGCGAGGGUGGCCGGCCACACUGAGACUGAGAGACGGCACAGGCACCGACGGGAGGCAGCAGUGGGGAAGAUUGCACGAUGAGCGCAAGCCGGAUGCAGAGGCGCCGCGGGUGGGAUGACGGUCUUCGGGGUGAAGACUCAAUGCGCUAGUGACGAAGCUUUUUGUGACGGUACCUAGAUAAGAAGCACCGGCUAACUACGUG
rnacentral:rRNA from 1 species